rnacentral:tRNA from 2 species
AGAAACUUAGGAUAAUAUAUUUAAACCGAGGGCCUUCAAAGCCCUAAACAAGAGUUAAAUCCUCUUAGUUUCUG